rnacentral:lncRNA from 1 species
CUCCCUCUGCUGAUCUACUACCAUGGCGGAGCCCUCUGCCUGGGCUCUCCCUACUGCACCACAUACCACAACUACGUCACUUCUCUUGUCGCUGAAGCAAACAUCAUUGCAGUGUCUGUUGAUUACAGACUGGCACCUGAACAUCCCGUCCCCGUACCUCAUGAAGAUUCAUGGGCUGCAACCCAGUGGGUGGUUUCCCAUAGUCUCGGGCAAGGCCCUGAAGCCUGGCUGAAUGAUCAUUCUGAUUUCAAGCGAGUUUUUCUUGCCGGAGACAGCGCCGGAGCCAAUAUUGCCCACAACAUGGCUGCAAGAGCUGGGGUUGAAGGAUUGGGUGGUGUGAAGCUGUCAGGAAUUUGUCUACUUCAUCCAUAUUUCGGCCGCAGAGAAGCUGAUUGUGAUAGCCGCGGUGACGGUGACAGCCUCGUCGAUAAGAAGCCAGGUGUGGAUAACAGGUGGCUUUUCGUGUGUCCAACCUCGAGCGGGAUAAACGACCCAAUAAUAAACCCGGCAUCAGACCAGAAUUUACGAAAAUUAGGGUGCAGUAAGGUGCUGGUUUGUGUAGCAGAGAAGGAUGGACUGAGAAAAAGGGGGUGGUUUUAUUAUGAGGUAUUGGGUAAAAGUGGUUGGGGUGGGGCGUUGGAGAUUGUGGAGACGGAAGGAGAAGAUCAUGUGUUUUUUUUGUUCAAGCCUGGUUGUGAGAAGGCUGUGGCUUUGAUGAAAAGGCUGGCCUCUUUUAUGAAUCAAGACUAGGCUCAACGGUUUGUGUUGGGUGAUGGCUACAUCUUUUGGCCAAAUGCGAUAUGGGGAAGAAGGCCCAAACUUGUAUUUGGGAUUGGCUAGUUUAAUUGCCAUUUCUUAAUAUGUAUUUGGAUAAUUUUAUCUACCUACUUAUUAUAUCGACGCUUUUAUGAAUAAUAUGUAUGCUCCUAACAAAUUUCUAUAGGAAAAAAUGAGAAAUUUUGGGGGGUUUCACAUGGUAGACGCCUUAUACAUGUGGAGGAAACUUUUAGGAGAUCACAUACUAUGGUCACCCUUGGAAAUUCACCAUCAAUGAGUUUGAGAGUGAUUUUGAAAAGUAUUUAUAAUAUUUUUAAUAUUUGAAAAAUAAAAAAUUUUAAAUGUUAGAAAAUUUAAAAAUACUUCUAUCAAACGCACUCCAACUAAGGAACAGUACCUUCAUUCCUUGGUUUUUUCCUUUUAUAACUCAUCUUGCUGUAGCAGUAUUUGGAAUAGAAGAGAAUCAAUUAGUUACACAAUGAAUUAGUUACUGAUUCCGAAUAAACUAACUAAAAUAACUAGUUCUUAUCUUAGUUUCUUGGGUGAAGUUACUUGACUGCAGUAGAUAGGGGAUGAUAGAGAAUUUGAUUUCAACAUGGGUGGAGGCAGCCAUAUUCUAGAAAGAUUUAUGACCGAUGGAUUUGGUACUGGAUAAUUGAUUCAUUGUUUCGCCCCUCCCGGUCGGUGUCAAGCAUAUGACCAUUUUUGCACAGCAAGGUUAUGAAAAUCCAUGAGAAGUGACUGGAUGUAUUAUAUGUACCAAUUGUCAUUUAGCUAAUAAGCCCGUGGAUAUUGAGGUUCUCCUAAAGAUAGGAGGAAUUCAGCAUUUUUCUUUUGGAAAACACAGUAUCGUUCAAUUAUUAAGGUUGCAAUUCAACAAAUUCAUUUAUUUUACUUUGUAUCUGUUUGGUCUUUGAGAAAAGGACGGAAAAAUUACAUAGAAGUGCGCUACCACCAACCAACCAAAACUAAUGGUUAUUAUAUAUGGCUCAGUGGGUACCUUUCCUCUGUGAUAUUAGUUACUGCAACAGCCAAAGUCAUUGAGGUUGGUUAUUUUAUUCCACUCACCGUGUUUUAGGAUUUUUUUUUAAGAUUUAGAUACCGAUAUUACCCUUCAUUAAUCACUCACGUUACACGAUGAAUGGAUGAAAAAGUAAAUAUAAAACAAUUAAAACGAGUGUAAAGUGGUUUUUUAAUAUUGUUUUGAAAAAUUUUAAAUUUAAACUGCCGUUUCACAGUAAUUCUAAGAAACGUUUUUAAACUUUUAAAUACUUUAUAAAAUUUGUAUUAUUUAAGUGUUAGAAAUGGUAGAAACGUUUUCUAAAAUCACUAUCAAAUGCACUGUUAAUAUAUUGAGAUUUUUAUCCUAAGCAAAUUAUGUCAAAAAGGCUUUUUAGACUAUGAUGCAAUUUUGUUAAGAAAAUUAAAUAUCCUUUCCACAUCACAAAACUCUUAAAAAAAUUGUAUUUCUCCUGGGUUCGUGAAGAAAUUUGCAUCCCUUUAUACGUUGAGGCCUAGUCCAUUGGCACACAUGUGAUGUUGUAUCAUGGGCAUGAAGAUCAAUGUAGGCAUUGAAAAGUAAGAUUUAAAGAUAACAUGUAUAAAAUAAAUUUAUGUAUUGUUAUUUCAACGGUAGUGAUUUUGUAUUUUACGAUAUUUAAUUUCGUGAUUUUUAUAUUUGCAUAAUUUUUAGCAGACAAUACAAGUUGUUUUAAGGUAAAAAUUUCUAUCUCGAUUGGUUUCUCUUUCUAUUUUUGAAAUAUUAAAAAUAUUAAAAAUAAUAAUUUUAGGAUAAAAAGAAGUGUUAUUCAUUCUAUUUAGGCAUUUCAUAAUCUAGAUGUAUGACUUUCUAAAUCAAUUUUUUUCUUGAAAAUGUAAUAAUAUUGGUUAUCCAUACUAAUUACGCAAAUGAUGAAAAAUAUCAUCCAAAAACUUAAAAAAAAAAUGAUACAUUAAAAAAUUGGAGAGGGCUCAAAUUAUGCUUAAAAUUAAUUGAAAUAAUGCAAUUUCUUUUUCAACUUCAAUUAACCAUUGUAUUGGUUUUCCUUUUUUCAAUAUUUCAUCCACUCUUGUCCUAACAAAAAUAAUCAAAUUUACAAUAAAAAUUAAUAAUACAAUUUUCAAAUACUAAUUAACAAUAGAUACGUAUUUUAAAAUUUAUUUUAAAAAAAUCCAACUCCAAAUAGUUAUGAUAUUCUUUAAAAAGACUAAUUACACUUACAUUUUUCCUACCUUCUAAUUUUUUUGAUUUAAUUUUUUUUUGUCACUUCUUAUAGCAUCAAUAUUGCUUAGGCAUACUAAUCAUCCUUAGAAAUGAUGGAAGUUAGACACAAAAAAAUUUGAAAUUUAAAACACAAAAAAAUUUCCUCACAUUUUUGUACAAUUCCCACAUUUUGGUACUCUCCAAAAUUCUCAAAUUUUUUAUUUUAAGAUUUUUUUUUCCAUCUCAGAAAGUUCGUACCAUCUCUCAUAAAGUUCGUACAAUGUUCGUACCCCAUCUCACAAUGUUCGUACAUCAUUUCAUAAUAUUCGUACCAUAUCUCACAAAGUUCGUAUCCCAUCUCACAAAGUUUCGUACAAUCUCUCACAAAGUUUGUACCAUAUAUCACAAAGUUCAUACAAUCUCUCAUAAAGUUUGUACCACCCUCACAAUGUUCGUACAAUCUCUUACAAUAUUCGUACCCUUUCUUACAAUAUCAGUACCCCAUCUCACAAUGUCAGUACCCCAUUUCACAAUGUUCAUACAUCAUCUCACAACGUGUGUACUCCAUUUCACAAAGUUCGUACCCCAUCUUACAAAGUUCGUACUCCAUCUCACAAAGUUUGUAUCACCUCUCACAAUGUUGGUACCCCAUCUGACAAUGUUCGUAUCAUCUCUCACAAUGUUUAUACCCUCUCUCACAUUGUUCGUACUAUUUCUCACAAUUUUUCGUACAUCUUCUCACAAUGUUCGUACCCAAUCUCACAUUGAUCGUACAACUUCUCACAUUAUUUCGUACAAUUUUUUACAAUGUUCGUACCCCCUCUCACAAUAUUCGUAUCAUCUCUCACAAUGUUUGUAGCUUUUUUUUUUACAUUAUUCGUACCUUCUUUUCAUAUUACUUGUUAGUCUUCUCACAUUGUUUAUACCCUCUUUAACAUGACAUUUCCACCUACAAAAUUUAUAUUUAGAUAAAAAAAAAUCAAAUUUUACCUUUAACACUUGUAAUCAAUUGGAAUCCUUCGUAUAAUAUCUUCCCAAGAGACAAAAUUCUUGUUUUCUUCUUCAAGAUAUAUUAAACUUCAUCUUCAAAUUUAAUCUAUGAAUACACAAAAUAAUAACAUAAAAAAUAUUGAUGACGAUUUUAUAACAAAUGACUAAAUAGUCUCAAUUUGAUUAAUAAUAACUCAUAAAAAAAAUUCAAAAAUCUAAAUGUUAAAAAUCAUUACAUAUUUAAAUGUCAUUUCACACGACAUUUCUACCUACAACAUUUAUAUAUAUAUAUAUAUCAAAUGUUACCUUUUAACACUUGUAAUCACUUCACAUCCUUCAUAUAAUGUCUUCCUCAAGACAUAUAAAACUUCAUCUUCAAAUUUAAUUUAUGAACACAAAAAAAAAUGAUAUAAAAAUAUUACUAAUAACAAAAGAUUAAAUUAUCUUAAUUUGAUUAAUAAUAAACUCAUAAAAAAUUCUAAAAUUUAAAUUUUAUAAAUCAUUACAUAUUCAUUAUUUAACAUAACAUUUCUAUCUACAAAAUUUAUAUUUAAAUAAAAAUAUAUCAAAUAUUACCUUUGACACUUGUAAUAACUUGAAAUCCUUCAUCUUCUUCAUAGAAUACAAAUUUUAAAUUUUCUCCCUUAAAAAGUUUCAAACAUAUAUAAUUUUUAAAUUUGAUUUAUCAAAAAUACAUCUCAUAUAUUUUGUAAUGUGGUAGUUGAAACUAUUUAAUUUUCAUAUUAAAUUAAUAUCCUUCUUAUAUAUAUGAAUAAUGAGAAUAUAAGGAUAGUUGUAAGAGUUAGGUAAUUUAUUAAAUUAUAAAAAAAAUUAUAAUAUUUAGAUAUAUAUGAAAUGCGGAUUAUUCUCAAUCAUUUUUUAUAGGUUUAAUAAGUAUUUGUAAAUUUUUUAAUGACAUGCACUUUACGCGUGUCAUUUUAUUAUUGGGGUAAAGUGCGGUUAGGUACCCAAAAUAAAAUAAAGAGUGGGUAACAAACAACAGCCCUUGAUUUACGGAUUAAACGCUCGAAAACUGUGUUAAAAAUAUGUUUUUUAAAGAGCCGACCAUCAUCCCAUGACUUCUUUCGUUUGUUGGGUUAAUAAUGGCAGCAAAUGACCCAAAGCAGCCUCAAUUAUUACUUAGUUCUUCCACGGAGAUAUUAGAAAAUUAUUGAUUAAAGGUCUGCAACCUUCAAGGCUAAUAUUCUCGAUGUAAGAUAAGCCAUGACAUAUUUUUUUAAAAGAUAAAUCCAAAAGUGUUUUAAGACCACAAAUCAUACUUGUUCUCUUUGUUUCUGCUGCGAAUAUAUAUAUACAGAUUGAAGCAUCGUGAUCAAAUCAUCUUCUUCCUUUUGAACUCCAUCCAACAAUAUAUAUAUAGAGGUGGGUGUCAUUUCUUGUAAUCCAACAUCUCUAUCUACAAACAAACACUUUCUCAGUCUUAGCUUUUCUUUGGUUCAAUAAUGGAUUCAACUACUGCUGAAGUUGCAUACUACUUUGCCCCAUUUCUCCGGGUAUACACAGAUGGCCUUGUAGAGAGGUUGCUCGGCACAGAUGUAGUUCCACCGGCAAUGAAUUCGGAAACCGGGGUUUCCACCAAGGACGUUGUGAUCGCACCUGAAACUGGCGUAUCGGCACGUCUGUUCAAGCCGAACUCCGUUAACCCAGAGAAAAGGCUUCCUCUACUAGUUUACUUCCAUGGCGGAGGCUUCUCCCUAUGCUCCCCUUACUGCUCCAUAUACCAUAAUUACCUUACUUCUCUAGUCCUCGAAGCUGACAUCAUUGCAGUGUCUGUUGCCUACAGACUAGCCCCUGAAAACCCUGUCCCUGCAGCUUAUGAAGAUUCAUGGGCUGCGCUUCAGUGGGUGGUUUCCCAUUGUAAUGGGCAAGGCUCCGAACCUUGGCUGAAAGACCACGCUGAUUUUCAGCGAGUUUUUUUGGCUGGAGACAGUGCAGGAGGCAAUAUUUCACACAACUUGGCUGUACAAGCCGGGGUUGAAGGGCUGGGUGGUGUGAAGCUGCAAGGAAUUUGUGUAGUUCAUCCAUAUUUUGGGAGAAAAUCAGAAGAUGAUGUUGGCAAGGUUGAUGACAAUGCCAGUGGUGGUCGACCGGACGUGAGGCCCGGUGUGGAUAACAGGUGGCUUUAUGUGUGUCCAACAACUAGUGGGUUCAAUGACCCAAGGUACAAUCCGGCGGCUGAUGAGAGGUUAUGGAGGCUAGGGUGCAGUAAGGUUCUGGUUUGUGUUGCAGAGAAGGAUGCGCUGAGGGAAAGAGGGUGGUUUUAUUAUGAGACAUUGGGUAAGAGUGGUUGGAGUGGAGAGGUGGAGAUUAUGGAGACAGAGGGGGAGGGGCAUGUGUUUCAUUUGUUCAAGCCUAGUUGUGAAAGGGCCGUGACCCUGAUGAAAAGGAUCGUCUCUUUCAUCAAUCAUGAAUAAGUUCAGGUCAUUGGAGCUUUAGAAGAGAGUUUGUAAUUUCCUGAUGAAAAGGAUCGUCUCUCUCAUCAAUCAAGAAUAAGUUCAGGUCAUUGGAGCUUUAGAAGAGAGUUUGUAAUUUCUCAAUUAAUAAGUCAGCCUUGUGCUGGAGCUUUAGAAGAGAGUUUUUAAUUUCUCAAUUAAUAAGUCAGCCUUGUGCUGACUAUGCCUUUUCAUUUUAUGAAAGUUUUAUUUGCCAAUUCUGGCUUAUAUCUUUUUGUAAGAACUCGUUCCACACGGUGUAAAUAUUAUUGUUUAUUUACACCCCGUCUACCACAAUCUUAUGGGGGUAGACACAACAAAGUCCACGGAAUUGUAAGAUCAAAUAGACGAACACCUGUAUGGGGCCAAACAAACCUCACACUGAGAUCGCCUUUUUAUUUUAUGAAAGUUUGAUUGUUUUAUUUGCCAAUUUUGCCUUAUAUCUUUUGUAAGCACCCCGUCUACCGUAAUCUUAUGGGGGUAGACACAACGUCCACGAAAUUGUAAGAUUGCGAGUCAAAUAGACGAACACCGAGGCCGGAGAUGCUUUGUACCCAAAAUGACUCACUACUUUAAAACAUAUCUAUAGGGUUAUGAGAAGUGCAUGCUUAUAUAAUGUAAAAAAAUUUUCCAUGUGGGAUGUCACAUCUCUAUUCUAUUUUUACAUUUGGGUUACCAAAUUUUGUGUUCUUGUUUCAUACCAUUGCAAUUUUUAGGGCCAUUUGAGGGCCCACAAUUUGGAAAUUUUAAAAGGUGGGGAAAAUAUACCUACUUUAACGACCUAAAGGGUCACCAAGUGACAAGUGACGAUUAAGCACCAACACCCUUUUCAAUUCGUUCACAUUACGUCUCUACUUGCCUUAAACUUCCAUUAAAUUCUCCCCACUAUAUGUUAAUGGAAAAUAUGUGGAAAUUUGGAUGCCACAAGCCCAAUAAACUUGCUCUUCUCAAGCCAUGCCAAUCCAUAUUAAGGUCUUUGAGGGUCCACAACUAGGAGUGUUUAGAAAGGAAGAGAACAUGUACCAAUUGGCAAUAAGACCGAACGAUGGUGAUGAGUCGAUGGCUAGACACCAACAAUAUCCUUUUCCUUUUUCUCUGUUCUCACCGAAUCCUUGGAAAAUCGUUCAAUGGCUCUCUCUAUUCCAAUAUGAACACUCAGAAAAUGAAAGGACGGGGGAAAUAAUGACAAUGGCUCUGUGGAUCACAUGGACUCGCAAAUGAAUUUAAACUUUGUGCUCUGGAAACCUGUUCUAAGGAAUCUAGACGUGUUCUCCACAAUCCAGCCAUUUUCUGAAGCCCAGUUCUUGGCUCUCCAAAGACUAGUGUGUUAUGAGUUAAUUCAAGUAGGGUUGUUUAAUGUAACUUGAAAGUUUCGGACCUUCCUUGAUUUUUAAGGUAAUUAUUUUUUAAUUAUUAAAAUUAUUAUUUUUAUUUAUUUUUAGCUUCCGACCUUCCUUGUUAGGCCCAUGUUAGUUAGAAAAUUUAGGACAUGUGAAAGAAUUAUUACUAAUAUUUAAUUAACAUAAUUUAAAUAUAUAGCAAAUUAUAAAAUGCCAAAAUUUUCACACAUUAAUUUUUUAUACUAAUAUUUAUAUGGUCAAGAUUCAACUACCAACAUACCAGACUUUUUCCCACAAGAACUCUACUUAAAUUCUUAUAUCUGAUCACUGAUCCAACAUACAUAGUCUUCUCUCUAUCUCUCUGUCUCAACCAGGCCAUAAACUUUCGUUUUCUUCUUUUCUUAAAAAAUGGAUCCAAAAGCAACUGAAAUAGCUCACGAUUUUCCACCGUUUCUCCGAGCAUACACAGAUGGGCGGGUGGAGAGGUUUUUCGGCACCGACGUGGUUCCACCGUCGGUCGAUUCUGAAACUGGGGUUUCCACCAAAGACGUUGCAAUUGCACCUGAAAGAGGCGUAUCUGCGCGUAUCUUCAAGCCAAACACCAUCAAUCCAGACCAGAAGCUCCCUCUGCUGAUCUACUACCAUGGCGGAGCCCUCUGCCUGGGCUCUCCCUACUGCACCAUAUACCACAACUACGUCACUUCUCUUGUCGCUGAAGCAAACAUCAUUGCAGUGUCUGUUGAUUACAGACUGGCACCUGAACAUCCCGUCCCCGUACCUCAUGAAGAUUCAUGGGCUGCAACCCAGUGGGUGGUUUCCCAUAGUCUUGGGCAAGGCCCUGAAGCCUGGCUGAAUGAUCAUUCUGAUUUCAAGCGAGUUUUUCUUGCCGGAGACAGCGGCGGAGCCAAUAUUGCCCACAAC